AGCAGCCGCGGUAAUUCCAGCUCCAAUAGCGUAUAUUAAAGUUGUUGCAGUUAAAAAGCUCGUAGUUGAAUUUCAGGCCUGGCUGGACGGUCCGCCCUUCGGGUGAGUACUGUCUGUGGUCGGGUCCUACCUUCUGGCGAAGCGUCAUGGCCUUAACCGGCCGUGGCGGGGAACCAGGACUUUUACUGUGAAAAAAUUAGAGUGUUCAAAGCAGGCAAUCGCUUGGAUACAUUAGCAUGGAAUAAUGGAAUAGGACAAUGGUUCUAUUUGUUGGUUUU
rnacentral:rRNA from 1 species